rnacentral:misc_RNA from 1 species
GAUGAAGAACGUAGCGAAAUGCGAUAAGUAAUGUGAAUUGCAGAAUUCAGUGAAUCAUCGAAUCCUUGAACGCACAUUGCGCCCGCUAGUAUUCUGGCGGGCAUGCCUGUCCGAGCGUCAUUUCAACCCUCAAGCCCCCGGGCUUGGUGUUGGGGAUCGGCGAGCCUCCGCGCCCGCCGUCCCCUAAAUCUAGUGGCGGUCUCGCUGUAGCUUCCUCUGCGUAGUAGCACACCUCGCACUGGGAAACAGCGCGGCCACGCCGUUAAACCCCCAACUUCUGAACGUUUGACCUCGGAUCAGGUAGGAAUACCCGCUGAACUUAAGCAUAUCAAUAAGCGGAGGA